GGGGGGGGGGGGGGAGGGAGGGACAAACCCCAUAGGGGACACCUGGGGGGUGACAGUGCCCCAUAGGGGACACCUGGGGGGGUAACAGCCCUAUAGGUGACGUCUGAGGGGGCUGAGGUGACAUCAGGGGGGUGACAGCCCCAUAGGGGACACUUGGGGGGGUGACAUCCCCAUAGAUGCCACUUGGGGGGUGACAAACCCCAUAAGUGACAUCUGGGGGGCGGUGACAGCCCUAUAGGUGCCACCUGGGGGGGUGAGGUGACAUCUGGGGGGGACAUCCCCAUAGGUGACACUUAGGGGGGUGACAGCCCUAUAGGUGUCACCUGGGGGGGGUGAGGUGACAUCUGGGGGGUGACAGCCCCAUAGGUGACACUUGAGGGGGGGUGAGGCGACAUCUGGGGCUGCCAAAGCCCACAGGUGCCACGUGGGGGGGGUGAGGUGACCUCUGGGGGGGGACAACCCCAUAGGUGACACUUGGGGGGGGUGACAGCCCCAUAGGUGACCUCUGGGGGAGGGUGACAGCCCCAUAAGUGAGCUCUGGGGGAGGGUGACAGCCCCAUAUGUGACCUCUGGGGGGGGGGACAGCCCUAUAGGUGACAUCUGGGGGGGUGACAGCCCUAUAGGUGCCACCCGGGGGGGGUGA
ensembl:lncRNA